UACCAGCACCCCGAGUGGUCGGGACGAUUAUUGGGCCUAAAGCAUCCGUAGCCGGUCAUGCAAGUCUUCCGUUAAAUCCAGCCGCUCAACGGUUGGGCUGCGGAGGAUACUACGUGGCUAGGAGGCGGGAGAGGCAAGCGGUACUCAGUGGGUAGGGGUAAAAUCCUUUGAUCCAUUGAAGACCACCAGUGGCGAAGGCGGCUUGCCAGAACGCGCUCGACGGUGAGGGAUGAAAGCCGGGGGAGCAAACCGG
rnacentral:rRNA from 1 species